UGCGUAGGCGGGUCUUUAAGUCAGGGGUGAAAUCCUGGAGCUCAACUCCAGAACUGCCUUUGAUACUGAAGAUCUUGAGUUCGGGAGAGGUGAGUGGAACUGCGAGUGUAGAGGUGAAAUUCGUAGAUAUUCGCAAGAACACCAGUGGCGAAGGCGGCUCACUGGCCCGAUACUGACGCUGAGGCAAGACUGGGGAGGCGAAACA
rnacentral:rRNA from 1 species